UGGGGAAUUUUGCGCAAUGGGGGAAACCCUGACGCAGCAACGCCGCGUGGAGGAUGAAGUACUUCGGUACGUAAACUCCUUUCGAUCGGGACGAUUAUGACGGUACCGAGAGAAGAAGCCCCGGCUAACUUCGUGCCAGCAGCCGCGGUAAUACGAGGGGGGCGAGCGUUGUUCGGAAUUAUUGGGCGUAAAGGGUGCGUAGGCGGUUUGGUAAGUCUGAUGUGAAAUCUAUGGGCUCAACUCAUAGUCUGCAUCGGAAACUGCCGGGCUUGAGUAUGGGAGAGGUGAGUGGAAUUCCUGGUGUAGCGGUGAAAUGCGUAGAUAUCAGGAGGAACACCUGUGGCGAAAAGCGGCUCACUGGACCAUAACUGACGCUGAUGCACGAAAAGCUAGGGGAGCAAAACAGGAUUAGAUACCCUGGUAGUCCUAGCCCUAAAACGAUGACUGCUUGGUGUGACGGGUACCCAAAUCCCGCCGUGCCGUAGCUAACGCGUUAAAGCAGUCCGCCUGGGGAGUACGGUCGCAAGGCUGAAAACUU
rnacentral:rRNA from 1 species